AGCGAACGCCGGCGGCAGGCUUAACACAUGCAAGUCGAACGCCCCGCAAGGGGAGUGGCAGACUGGUGAGUAACGCGUGGGAACAUACCCUUAUCUUCGGAACAACUCCGGGAAACUGGAGCUAAUACCGCAUGUGCCCUUAGGGGGAAAGAUUUAUCGGAUAAGGAUUGGCCCGCGUUGGAUUAGCUAGUUGGUUGGGUAAAGGCCUACCAAGGCGACGAUCCAUAGCUGGUCUGAGAGGAUGAUCAGCCACAUUGGGACUGAGACACGGCCCAAACUCCUACGGGAGGCAGCAGUGCGGAAUAUUGGACAAUGGGCGCAAGCCUGAUCCAGCCAUGCCGCGUGAGUGAUGAAGGCCUUAGGGUUGUAAAGCUCUUUCACCGGAGAAGAUAAUGACGGUAUCCGGAGAAGAAGCCCCGGCUAACUUCGUGCCAGCAGCCGCAGUAACAC
rnacentral:rRNA from 1 species